rnacentral:rRNA from 1 species
AGAGUUUGAUCCUGGCUCAGGACGAACGCUGGCGGCGUGCUUAACACAUGCAAGUCGAGCGAAGGUUAUACGAAAGAUUCUUCGGAUGAUUUUGUAUAAACUUAGCGGCGGACGGGUGAGUAACGCGUGAGGAACCUGCCUUGUACAAGGGGAUAGCCUCGGGAAACCGGGAUUAAUACCCUAUAAAGCUUAUCAAGUGCAUGCUUAAUAAGCCAAAGCGUUAGCGGUGCAAGAUGGUCUCGCGUCCCAUUAGCUAGUUGGUGAGGUAAUAGCUCACCAAGGCAACGAUUGGUAGCCGGCUUGAGAGGGUGACCGGCCACACUGGAACUGAGACACGGUCCAGACUCCUACGGGAGGCAGCAGUGGGGAAUAUUGCACAAUGGAGGGAACUCUGAUGCAGCGACGCCGCGUGAGGGAAGACGGUUUUCGGAUUGUAAACCUCUGUCCCCGGUGACGAUAAUGACGGUAGCCGAGGAGGAAGCUCCGGCUAACUACGUGCCAGCAGCCGCGGUAAUACGUAGGGAGCGAGCGUUGUCCGGAUUUACUGGGUGUAAAGGGUGCGUAGGCGGCUGAACAAGUCAGGUGUGAAAACCAUCGGCUCAACUGAUGGAUUGCACUUGAAACUGUGCAGCUUGAGUGAAGCAGAGGCAGGUGGAAUUCCAUGUGUAGCGGUGAAAUGCGUAGAUAUAUGGAGGAACACCAGUGGCGAAGGCGGCUCUCUGGUCUGUAACUGACGCUGAGGCUCGAA